CAGCCGCCGCGGGAAAACGUAGGUGGCAAGCGUUGUCCGGAAUUAUUGGGCGUAAAGGGCUCGCAGGCGGUUUCUUAAGUCUGAUGUGAAAGCCCCCGGCUCAACCGGGGAGGGUCAUUGGAAACUGGGAAACUUGAGUGCAGAAGAGGAGAGUGGAAUUCCACGUGUAGCGGUGAAAUGCGUAGAGAUGUGGAGGAACACCAGUGGCGAAGACGACUCUCUGGUCUGUAACUGACGCUGAGGAGCGAAAGCGUGGGGAGCGAACAGGAUUAGAUACCCGAGUAGUCCCUGUCUCUUAUAC
rnacentral:rRNA from 1 species